rnacentral:rRNA from 1 species
UACAGAGACUGCAAGCGUUAUUCGGAUUCACUGGGCGUAAAGGGUGCGCAGGCGGCUAGGUGUGUGAGGCGUGAAAGCCUGGGGCUUAACCCCAGAAUUGCACCUCAAACUACUUGGCUAGAGCAUUGGAGAGGGUAGCAGAAUUCAUGGUGUAGCAGUGAAAUGCGUAGAUAUCAUGAGGAAUACCAGAGGCGAAGGCGGCUACCUGGACAAUUGCUGACGCUCAGGCACGAAAGCGUGGGGAGCAAAAGGG